rnacentral:tRNA from 2 species
UCCUCGGUAGUAUAGUGGUUAGUAUCCCCGCCUGUCACGCGGGAGACCGGGGUUCGACUCCCCGCCGGGGAG